UAGAAGCUCUGCGUAUCUGCGGCGGAGGGCUGCGGACUGACGGAACUGGGACGGAGUCUGGACGCAGACGUUCUGCCGUCAGUGGAAAUACACACACUGACUUUAAUGGAAACCUAAUGACUCCGUGGACGUUCAGGAGACGUUCCGCAUCCAGUGGAAAUUGCCGGUAAUGUCCGUUUUCGGAGCAUCAGAGAGAAGCGCAGGCAUUUAGGUGACACCUAAAUCCACGUUGCAUACCUGCGACUAGUUUGCAGUUUGAGUUUGCCAGACUGAAUUUGCUGUGGUGCUGCUGGUGGUCCUGGACCAUUUCCUGAUGAUGCAAAACCACAGGGUCCCAAUGAUCGCACAUGUUCGCUGAGAGGCUAAAGAGGAGAAUUAAACAAGAGAUGACCCAGCAGCCCAAACAGAGUGAGAGCUCUGUCAACACGGUGGUAAUAUGUCAGUGGCACCAGAUACAGGAGCUGGCACUUAGAUGAUGCCGAGGUUCAAAAAUAGCAGACCUAUUCACAACUGAAGCCAAAGUGAAAAUCACUGACAUACUGACACUUUGGACCCAAUGCCUUCAUAUACCAAACUUCUGCUGAAAUGCACUCAGAUGUGUGAGACUUCUAGAAAUA